rnacentral:rRNA from 1 species
UACGGAGGGGGGCUAGCGUUGUUCGGAAUUACUGGGCGUAAAGCGCGCGUAGGCGGCUUUGUAAGUUAGAGGUGAAAGCCCGGAGCUCAACUCCGGAACUGCCUUUAAGACUGCAUCGCUAGAAUCAUGGAGAGGUGAGUGGAAUUCCGAGUGUAGAGGUGAAAUUCGUAGAUAUUCGGAAGAACACCGGUGGCGAAGGCGGCGAGCUGGCCUGUACCUGACGCUGAGGCGCGACAGCGUGGGGAGCAAACAGG